rnacentral:rRNA from 1 species
CACGAACUGCGCAAACGUUAUUCGGAAUCACUGGGCUUAAAGAGUUCGUAGGCGGCGCGUUAAGUCGGGUGUGAAAUCCCUCGGCUCAACCGAGGAAUUGCGCCCGAAACUGGCGUGCUUGAGUAAGAUAGAGGUGAGCGGAACUGAUGGUGGAGCGGUGAAAUGCGUUGAUAUCAUCAGGAACACCGGUGGCGAAAGCGGCUCACUGGGUCUUAACUGACGCUGAGGAACGAAAGCUAGGGUAGCGAACGGGAUUAGAUACCCCGGUACGGUCCCU